AAAACCCAUAGAAAAACAACUAACACUGCUCAUAGAGCUUAUUAAAAAACCAUAAGUAAACAAACACCACCAGAGUUUCUUCUCCUCUUGAACUUGAUCCAUAAAACAUUAAGGUUUGGUAUUGCUUGGAUUGGGGUUUGAAGGGCCCCUCUCCUCCACCUGCUUCACUUCCUCUCCACCUUGACGGGACGCAGUCUUGGCCACACCUCUCUUGCGGGGAGACAGGAGCGACUGAACCAGUCUUUUCUUGGUACCACCUGCUGCAAUUCCCUGUUUGAAUAACUGCUUCUUUGCCCCCGGUUUCUUCUCCUUCUUCCUCUUCCCAUCAUUUUUCCCCUCCUCCUUACGUCCAAUCUGUGUCUCAGACUCAUCCACAGCAACCUGUUCCCCUGCAUCUUCCUUGUCUUCUGCCUCCUUCUCCAACUCUUCAUCAGUUAGCUCUUGGAAAUCUUCCCCAACGUCUUCAUUUUCAGCCUCAGCGUUUGCAACGUCUUCAGUAAUAUCAUCCCAAAAGGCUCGAGCUUCCUGCUCGUCAAUGUCCAUCUCAUUCUCAAUGGCUGGGAGCCAAGGAUCGUUCCAUACUGAGAUAGAUGAUCUUGAUCCCACCCUUUUGAUUAGUCUUUUGCUAACCAGAGAUCUAGCAGAUACGAUACUGCGCCAUCCAUAAGACGGCGAAUACGAACGGAUCGGUUCCAGAGGUGAUGCAUUCCGGAAAUACAGGCCUUUGAACACUCGUGAAAAUAAAGUAUGAGGCUUUUCAAUCAGACGGCACAAUUGUUUUCCCAACAUGGCUGUGUUAAAAUCCGUGAGAUCCUUGAAACCCAAUCCUCCCUCUUCUUUAGAAUGACAUACCUUAUCCUAUGAUUUCCAAUGAAGCCCUCUUGUGUUUCCUCUCGAGCUCCACUAGAAUUGUGCCGUCGAACUUGUUAGUUUCUUCGUUACUGUCUUAGGGAGACGGUAGCAUGAGAUAACAUGAUUAGGUAGAGCUGUGACCACUGUCUUGAUGAUCACCUCCUUGCCUCCUUUCGUAAAGAAUUUGAAAGUCCAUCCAUUUACUCUGUUACUCAAACGAUCCUGAACAAACCCAAAAACUUGUGUUUUCGAGCCACCCAAGCUCUCUGGUAACCCCAAAUAUGUUAUAUGUUCCCAUACCUCCUAUAUUUUGGAUCCCUAAAAUAUCUCUUAGCUCUUGUUGAUUAGUUUCCUCAAUCCUAUGCCCAAAUUGGAUCGAAGAUUUCUGGAAGUUUAUCAAUUGCCCCGACACCACCUCAUACUCUUUCAGAAUCCUGAGUAUGGUCUGGCAUUCCUCCUUUUGGGCCUUACAAAAAAAAUAGACUAUCAUCCGCAAAUAACAAGUGAGAUACCGCCGGGCAAGCCCUUGCAACCUUCAUUCCUGUGAGUUGUUUUUCCCUUUCAGCCUUUUUUAAUAUUUGCUAUUAAAGCUUCUGUGCACAUGAUAAAUAAAUAUAGAGAAAGAGGAUCCCCCUGGUGCAAUUCUCUCUGUGGAGUAAUGUGCCCUCGCGGGUGACCAUUCAAAAGAACCCGGUAUUGAACCGAAGAUAUGCAUUCCAUCAUUAGUUGGGUCCACAUAGGGUCAAAUCCCAUCUUAAGGAGUAAAGCUUGAAUAAAACUCCAUUCCUCUCUAUCAUAAGCCUUGCUCAUAUCUGUUUUUAUAGCCAUGAACUUAUUCUGACAUGACUUGUUAGUCCUUAAACCAUGAAACAUUUCCUGAGCGAUAAGAAUAUUAUCCGAUAUUAAUCUCCCUGCCACGAAAGCCGACUGAGUCUCCGAAAUCAAGAUUGGAAGACAAGUCUUCAACCUUUGACAUAAAACCUUAGAAAUAAUUUUGUAUCCUACAUUGCAAAGACUUAUCGGUCUCAGCUCCGUCAUUUUUGUACGCCUCUCCGUCUUUGGAAUCAAACAUAUAUUUGUAACAUUUAACCUUGGAUCCAACGUCUCAGUAGUUAAAAAAUUAUUUACCAAAUCCAGUAAAUCAUGUUUGGUGAUAGGUCACAAAUGCUGGUAGAAAAGUGUUGUCAUUCCAUCCGGUCCAGGAGCUUUCUCCGGAUGCAUCAUAAAUAAAACUUGAUAGAUUUCUUCCUUUGUUGCUGGUCUAAUCAGCCUCUGAUUCAUCUGCUGUGUUAUGCAUGGUGUAAUCUCCUCCAAAAAACCUUCAACUUCUAUGGGUGAAGUAGUACAGAAUAAAUCAUCGAAAUAGUCAAGUGCUACCUUCUCAAUACCUUUAUCUUCAGUAAUCCAAUUUCCUCCUUCAUCGUGUAGACCUACAAUCCUAUUGCGAGUACGCCGUUAUUUCGUCAAGGCAUGAUAGAAUUUAGUAUUACAAUCCCCUCCUAUGUGCCAUAAAUUCCUGCUUUUCUGGUGCCAAUAGUCCUCUUCAUCUUUGUAAGCUUCUUGCAGUUUCCUGGAUACUUCCACUAUUUCCUCCUGGGUUCUAUUGUUAUCCGAUUGGACUUCUUCUAAAGCUUGCUGAAGUUCACUUAUUUUCUCUUUUCCAUAAGGUGGAUUAUUCUUUCUCCACCUAGAAAUCUCAUGUCGACAAUUACUAACUUUUGCAACGAAGUCCCUGGUUCCUCUUUCUCCUGGAUAUUUCCAACCCCUAUCAAUGGACUCCAAUAAACCAUCUUGGCCAAUCCAUCGUUUAUCAAAACGGAAUUGACCCCAUCGCUUAGGCAUCUUAUCCUCAAGGAAAGCCAAUACUGGUCAGUGGUCCGAUCCUUCCAUUCCUAAAUAUUCUGUAAAGGAGCAUGGGAAUAAAGUAUGCCAGUCUUUAUUUGCUAAUGCUCGGUCUAGUCGGCAUCGAAUUACUCCGUUUUGUCUUUUCCCUCGCCAUGACAUUUGAUUCCCUUUAGCUGGGAAUUCCAAAAGACCACAAUUUCGGAUCAUGUUAUUAAAAGGCACAAAAGAUCCUGCAGGUCUUAAUGAGCCAACUUCUUUCUCAUGAUUACCAAUAAUCUCAUUGAGAUCCUCAAUAACGAACCAUGGUUCCGAACGAGCUAGGCCAUAUCUCGUUAGUCUCUCCCAUAGUUGUUCUCGCAAUUUUGGAACCGGGUCUCCAUAAACAAAAGUUAGAAAAACGUGUUUCCCCAGGAUCAUCGCCUCAAUAUCAAUCAUGCGGUUAUUUGAAUAUAGAACCUUAACCAGAUAAUCAUUGUUAAAAUACAAGGCUAGACCUCCACUUGUGCCAAUUGGGUCCACUGUCACCAAAUUAUCAAAUCCGAAAUGCGCUUGAAAUCCUUGCACAAAAUUAAAUUCUUGUUUUAUUUCCGAUAAAAAUAAAAAAUCUGGUCUAUGCUUAUGCCAAAUUUCUUUGAGAUAACUGAUCGUCCAAUGACUGCCCAUACCUCUGCAAUUCCAACUUAAGAUCUUCAUAAAAAAUAACUUUGAGUUUCCUCGGACGAGCGAUUUCCGCGGGUAUAAUGAGACCCUGAAUAAAUAGAAAACUCUAUACUGGUGGUUUUCACUCCGAGGAGAAAACUGAAUCCAAGAACCCCAAUCAAACCCGCUGCUACACGCAAAACCAAAGUGACUACAUCUUAAAAUUAAGAUAUAUGAGAUUCCCAUAUCCUUGGACAAACCUCUAACGCUAGCCACAAAUGCCCUAUGUUGACUUUGAUGUUGUAAUGAGACGUACGCAUAACGUUUUCCCACGUCCGUUAAAUUAAUCUGUUCUAAGACACAAAGUGUUGGAACCAUAUUCCUUGUAUGAUUAUCAUGAAACGAUAUCACCGAACCAAAAACAGUGUCCUGUAAACAUUGUUUCAUAUCUAUUUCAUUGAAUAUGGUCCUCACCCUCUUCUCUGCAACCAGUAUUACUUGAUAAAACCAAAAAUAUUCUUUUAUCUGGUCUAAAGAAACCAUUAACACCAAUCUGACUACCAAAAAAAAUAGCCUUGCCUUCUAGCCUGAGAUAAUUCCUUAAAUAAACCAUUAUCCUCCUUAAACCUACAUGAUCUUGUGUUUGUCCCGAAGUCAACACGUGAUGCCGUUCUAUCCUUCUUGAGAACUCAUCAAACCACAAGGAGCCGACCAAGUAAAGAAAGAACCUUUUAUUCUCAGCGACCCACACAAACGCAGAUCGAGACUCAUACAAAUAAAGAGAUUGAAUCAAAGCAAAAUAAAAACCCAUAGAAAAACAACUAACACUGCUCAUAGAGCUUAUUAAAAAACCAUAAGUAAACAAACACCACCAGAGUUUCUUCUCCUCUUGAACUUGAUCCAUAAAACAUUAAGGUUUGGUAUUGCUUGGAUUGGGGUUUGAAGGGCCCCUCUCCUCCACCUGCUUCACUUCCUCUCCACCUUGACGGGACGCAGUCUUGGCCACACCUCUCUUGCGGGGAGACAGGAGCGACUGAACCAGUCUUUUCUUGGUACCACCUGCUGCAAUUCCCUGUUUGAAUAACUGCUUCUUUGCCCCCGGUUUCUUCUCCUGCUUCCUCUUCCCAUCAUUUUUCCCUCCUCCUUACGUCCAAUCUGUGUCUCAGACUCAUCCACCGCAACCUGUUCCCCUGCAUCUUCCUUUUCUUCUGCCUCCUUCUCCAACUCUCCAUCAGUUAGCUCUUGGAAAUCUUCCCCAACGUCUUCAUUUUCAGCCUCAGCGUUUGCAACGUCUUCAGUAAUAUCAUCCAAAAAGGCUCGAGCUUCCUGCUCGUCAAUGUCC
rnacentral:lncRNA from 1 species